CUAAGUGGUCUCAGGGGAACAGUGAGCCAGGAGGUGACAUCAUAAGAGGUGAGCAGAACACAGGCUAGGGAAAUGAACAGUGAAGGUUCUCCCAGAGAAGAUUCUAAGAAGCCAGCCUACUGGGCAGCAAAUAAGGAGAGGUCCUACAACACAGGGCUCAGGGACCCCGACCAAAUCUAGGAUCUUUUGGAAGCUAGGAAUGAGACCAGAAAGGACAUGCAAAGAAUGACUAUCAAUGCUGACAGUCUGGAAGGCUAAGACGCAGAAUGGAGCCUGUUAACCCGAGUGGCCACAUAGACAAGGUCUCGGGAAAGCAGCAAUCCUUCAACACUCACUUGUUUAUCAAAUGUUCUCUGAUUAGUUUGUAGAGCUGGUUAUAAAACAAGUUGGUUAGUUGUUCUUUAUAUUAAUGGCUGGAGUGAAAAACAUUAUGUAAAAUCUUUGUAUGAUUUUCAGUUGAGAUAUAAAUCCUGAAGGAGUAGCAAUCCAGAUUAAAUGGGAAAAUGCUACUGA